AUGGGUACUUUAGAAGAAGAGAGCUUCAAUCUGUCCUUCUCCGCCUCUGAUGCAGAAUUUGAUGCUGUGGUUGCAUAAUUAGAGGACAUUGUCAUGGAUGAAAAGUUCUACUUUUUACAGAGAAAUUUCAUAGACAAGUACUACCUGGAGUUUUGAGGACACAGAAGAGAAUAAACUAAACUACAUGCCUAUUUUUAAUAAAUAUAUUUUUUUGGCAGAAAAAAUAUAUUGAAGAAUAACCUCUGUAGCAGAUUCCUGGAUUCAACAUAGCAGUUUUCACAACUAUGUUACGGUAUCAUAAAGAUGAAGUGGCUGGUGACAUAUGCGACAUGCUGCUCACCUUUACCAAUGUUUUGGCUUUUAGAUAAACGUUUUUGGACUAUAGAGCAGAAAAAGAAGGCUGGGGACUGGACUUAAGCAGUGGUCCAGUGGUGACUUUGUUGUGCAAAUCAUCUAUACCAACUUUCCAGAAAAAUCUGCAGCAC
rnacentral:lncRNA from 1 species